ACUCCUACGGGAGGCAGCAGUGGGGAAUAUUGCACAAUGGGGGAAACCCUGAUGCAGCCAUGCCGCGUGUGUGAAGAAGGCCUUCGGGUUGUAAAGCACUUUCAGUAGGGAGGAAGGUAGUGUAGUUAACACCUGCAUUAUUUGACGUUACCUACAGAAGAAGCACCGGCUAACUCCGUGCCAGCAGCCGCGGUAAUACGGAGGGUGCGAGCGUUAAUCGGAAUUACUGGGCGUAAAGCGCAUGCAGGCGGCCUGUUAAGUCAGAUGUGAAAGCCCCGGCUCAACCUGGGAACUGCAUUUCGAACUGGCAGACUAGAGUCUUGUAGAGGGGGGUAGAAUUUCCAGGUGGUAGCGGUGAAAUGCGUAGAGAUCUGGAGGAAUACCGGUGGCGAAGGCGGCCCCCUGGACAAAGACUGACGCUCAGGCACGAAAGCGUGGGGAGCAAACAGG
rnacentral:rRNA from 1 species